UGGGGAAUAUUGGACAAUGGGCGAAAGCCUGAUCCAGCCAUGCCGCGUGAGUGAAGAAGGCCUUCGGGUUGUAAAGCUCUUUCGCAAGGGAAGAACACUUAGUCUCUAACAUAGACUGAGGUUGACGGUACCUUGAUAAGAAGCACCGGCUAACUACGUGCCAGCAGCCGCGGUAAUACGUAGGGUGCGAGCGUUAAUCGGAAUUACUGGGCGUAAAGCGUGCGCAGGCUGUUUUGUAAGUCAGAUGUGAAAUCCCCGAGCUCAACUUGGGAACUGCGUUUGAAACUACAAGACUAGAAUAUGUCAGAGGGGGGUAGAAUUCCACGUGUAGCAGUGAAAUGCGUAGAGAUGUGGAGGAAUACCAAUGGCGAAGGCAGCCCCCUGGGAUAAUAUUGACGCUCAUGCACGAAAGCGUGGGGAGCAAACAG
rnacentral:rRNA from 1 species